CCCGGGUGCAGUUAAACGCUCCCAGAUCCCAAUUAAGUGAUUUCAAAUGCAAUUCAUUCCGGCUCAUUAAAUAAUUCCUGGGCUGGCUUUCCUUCUAUGACCACCUUAGAAAUCUCUUUUUCCAGAGAAGAGGAAAACACCGAGGGCGGCUUGAUAACAGGAGACCAUCCGGUCUGGGAUGGGGAAGCGGAAGGAUUUCUGCUUGGCCUCUCCAGCAUCGUAUUUUGCAUUUCACUCCCUCCCUCGGGUUCCCACCCCGCUCCCCCUCCAGCUCUCUGCCUCCCUCCUUUUCUCUCGGAAAUGACUUCACCUGACAGCUAUGGAUUUAGAGCUUUUUUGCCAAUUACUUAUGCCCAGUGAGAAAAUAGGUUUUUAAUGUCUGUCCUUGUUCCGCCCAGCCUGGCUCCCUCACCGUGAAGUGAGCCCACGGCCCCUCUCCCCGAGCAGACUGCGCUCCUUGCCAAAGGCUCUGUUCCCCGGGGAGGCAUCCAUGCUACAGAGCAGGAUGGACCAGCCUGUGCGUUCGGCUUCCCUGGGCAGCCCAGUUCAACGCUCAUUCAUUCAUUCAUCCUUCAUUACUAAGAUUUACUGAGGAUUUACUAUACGCCAGGUAUCAGGGUUCGUAAGGAGCAGGCAAGAGGAAAGGGCUGGAAAAGUAGUUUCAGGUUAAAUCUUCGUGAACCUUGAAGCAACUGAGAAUGAUUUAACAAGACAAGGGGGAGCCAUGGAAGGUCUCCAGGCAUCAGGAGCCAGGAGAUACACUUGAACUCAGGCAACGGCGGGUAGAGGCUGGAGGAAGGGUGACCAGAGAGGAGGCCGUUUCGAUGUUCCUAGCAGGAGUUUCUGGCAUCCUGAGUUUUGCAAAGUGGCAGCCACAUGGGGAGGAGAGGACAGUACCACGAGACUAUGCAAGGGAGAGGAGGCUUGGGAACUGCAAGGGCCUGGACACUGACUGCACGCCUAGGAGGAUGGAGAAGGAGAGGACAGGAGGGCUGCGGAGGAAUCCCCAUCUCAGGGGAGCAAUGAGCGAUGCAGGCCACCAAAUGGUAGGAGCGGAGGGCACUCAGAGGAAGGCUUCCUGCUCACCGUGACCCAGCGCCUCUGGGAGAAAGCCAGGAGGUGGCAACCCCGGGCACUUUGCUCAUCUGCAGUCCCAAGGGGAGCGCAAAGCGGGGGCCAAGGAGGCUGCACUGGGAAGGCCUGCUGGAAGGGCCUGGACGGCAUCACCUUGGCAGAGGAAGGCACAGUCUGAGCACUCGGGUCUGCUUGUUGACGGUGCUGAUGGGGACGGUAACAACAGCAGCAGUUAACUCGUGUGGGGAAGUCACCCCCUGCCGGGCCCAUCGCAGAACACAUCCCUCGCACAAGACUGAGCCACAGCUGAGCCUCACUUUACCCAGCAGACACUUCCCUGGGAGACACACAAACCAAGCUCCUGGGAAUUAAUUUAAAAUUGAAAUGGAAUUUGAUAUUUUAAUUCGUUAAAACAAGCAUGCAUUACUUUUGUAAUUAAAAAUAUAAGAAAUUUUUUAAAAAUGGAAACCAAGAUCUAUGCACAAAUAUACUCACUAAAGUAUUUUCUAGAAUAGCAAUGUGUUUGCCACCAGUAGACCACCAACUACGUCCAGGCAUUACACUGGGUGUGUUUUACGGCAGCUCAAACAAGUCCAUGACAGAGGUCCACAUAGAGCUCAUUAGCACUUCUCCUCAUGGAUUUCCAGACUCAGUGAUGGCAUCACAUUGCCCUGUCCUCUAGGCAAACUUCACAGAGUUGUGUCUGCUCUCUGCCUUGCCUUCCAGUUAUUCCUUAAAUCCAUACCUUCCCCUCCAUCCCAACUAUCCAGCCUCAGUGGGAGCCCCCACACCUCUCAUCUGAAUAUUCUCCCAACUGAUCUCCUUGACUUCAAUCUCCCCAGUCCAGUCCCCUCCAUGACAUCAGUGGCUCCUUCUAAAAUCCAAAGAGGAUGAUGCAAAUCUCCUGCCUAAAAUGCACCCACAAUCUCCCAUUGCUUUCAGGAUCAAAUCCAAAGAUCUUGGCAGGCCAUACAAACUCAUUAUGAGCUGGUUCCCACCUACAGAUCCAGCCCCAUCUCUCCCAACAAGCACCGUGGCCAAUUAUUGGCAGUUCCCAGAGCAUAUGCUGCUCCCUCUCACCUCUAGACCUUUAUGUGGCUGCUCCCUUAACCCUUCUCCCAAACUUUCACUCUUCCUGUAAGAUUGAGCUUUGACAUUACCCCCUCCGGGAAGCAUUUUCAGACCCCAGACUGGGUAAGCGCCUUUUCUCUGAGAUCUUAUAGAACCAAGGAACUUUUCUGUAACAGCUCCAACAAGGUUGUACUGCCCACUGAUUUAUAAAUGUCACAUGAGCAGGAAUACUGUUUAGGCCUCACAAAGGCCUUAUAGCAUAUGACACAAUAGCAGGUGUUCUAUCAAUGUCUGUCAAAUGAAUGAAUAUUUAACUGAUAUAUGAAUGGAUAAAAUAUUGGUUGGACCUCUUACCUGUCUUGUGAUAUUGGGUAAAUCUUGUACCUCCUAUAGGUCUCAGUUUCCUCAUCUGCAAAGUGGAAAUAAUAAUCUAAACAUUAAUAGUGAACAACGAAUGGUGGCCCAUUCACACAACCGAAAAUUACAUAAUCAAAAAAUGUUGAUCAAGACUAUGUAAUACCAUGGAAAAUGCAC
ensembl:lncRNA